GAGGGAAGGGUGUUGUAGUCAGGAGGAAGAGGAUACGAAGGGCUAAGGUAAGGCAGGGAACACCCAGUGGUGAGGGGUAGGGUCUGAGAGGAAAGGAGGGUAGGGCUGGGCUGGGCGAGGACCAGUCGGCAGGUAGGGUAUGGAGAGAUGGGGCAGGGGUUGAAAGUAGGAAAAUUAGGUAUAGGUUAAACUAGGGAGUAAAGGACGGGUAGAGUGUGGGGGUUGGAAACUUUUUGAAACGGAAAGUUUGUAACUUUAAACAUAUAAACAGAAAUGAUUACUUUUAACAUUUGCAACUUUUAACAUUGAGUCGGAAUGUUUGUAACUUUUAACAUUAAAACGACUUCAUACAAGGAGUGUCAUACUGCACAUGCACUGUUCUGGUCAGGUGUCUCUAUACAUCUGCUGAUUGGUUGAGCUACCAGCGUGAUCAGGGAUUUGUAUUGGAGUGGCAGUUUCUGAGCCUCUUCCUGUACUCUUGGUAACAGAGUAAGGAAAGUUAUGGUUGUGAGAAGGUUGCAUGGAGGUGAGUACCGGCUGAUGAAGAUGUUUUUCUCUGUCGUUCUCUCUACUGGACAUCCAAGCUUCUGUCUUGUACAUGUCAUCAGUGCUGUGGUGUCUGAUCGCUCAGCUUAUCUUCCUGUUUCUCAGGUGUCUCAGCGGAGACUGACUGUAAGUCCAGGUACUUUCUCUGUGGUGUAGACUAGAGACAGUUCAGCGGGGACCAUUGCGAUGGGAUAGAAGUGGAGGGUUACAGUUUUGCCUAUGAGAGACAUUUGGGAUAUACAGGACUCUCACUGUUUGUUUCAAUCAAUCAUUCAUUCAGUCAAUCAACAAAUCAAUGUGUACAUCUCGCAGAUGAUAGCGGUACUAGAAUCUGUGUGUUCAGUGCUGUCUGUCGUUUCCCUAUUUUACAGGCUUUUCUACAGACGCCCGACACUUUGGUAGGGGAGUUUCCUGCUUUUAAAGACCCGAGGCGAACACACACACACACACACACACACACACACACACAGAGAGAGACACAGUGCACUACUGAAGCUGCCUCUGCCGCUGCCCGACAUUUCUUUCCUCUCCCCUCAUCCUCUCUCCUCCUCUCCUCCCUCUCUUCCUUUCUUUUUUUCUGAAUGGGUGUCCUCUCUCUAACCUCUCAAUUGAGAGGAGUGUAACCGGACAAUGCCCUUCACAGAGAUAGGCUCCGCCCCUUUCAGCCAGGCUCAUAGACUAUAAGAGCACAGAGACUCGGCUCGGAGUGUGUGUAACAGAGAGUGUGUGUGUCUGUCUGCGUCAGAGGGACGGAGGGAGAAGGAGAGCAGGGGAGCCAGAGAGGGAGAGAAAGAGAGGGAGGUAGGCACAGAAAGAGAGGAGGACAGAGAGAGAGAGAGACUGAGGGAGAAGGAGAGUCUUAGUGCUGUGUAACAUAUGAUAGUAGUUUCUCUCGGCAGGGCCGGGCUGUGAGAGCGUGGUCGGCAGCGGUGUCUCGAGUGUGCUGGGAAAGCACCUUUAUCCCAGAGGGACUCAUACACACAGAGAGAGAGAGAGAGAGAGAGAGAGAGAGAGAGAGAGAGAGAGAGAAAGAGAGUGUGUCGGCUUCAGCACAGCACAGCGCUGUCACUUUAAGCCUGUUACUGAUUACACUCAGUAACAGAAUGCAACUGGAGUAGAAAAAAAUACUGACAGAGAAAGAAGGAAAGAAAGAAAGAAAGAAAGAAAGAAAGAAAGAAAGAAAGAAAGAAAGAAAGAAAGAAAGAAAGAAAGAAAGAAAGAAAGAAAGAAAGAAAGAAAGAAAGAUGUAAGGACAGAUUCUUUUGAAUUUGGUUUAGUUUAGUUUCACAGAAACUGUGAAGUUGUGGAAGGGUGAGAGACAAUUAUCUCUCUCUCUCUCUCUCUCUCUCUCUCUCUCUCUAUUCCUGAGAGUGGCAAACUGGAGGGGAACCCCAGAUUAUCUGCUAGAGAGAGAGCGGGGACAGAGAAAAAGAGGAGGAAGAAGAGGGAAACAGACAGAGAGACAGACAUACCGAGACAGUGAGAGUCAUAGAGAAUGAGAAGGGGACCUUUCAAACCUGGUAAGAGGCUUCCAGACGUCAGGAGGAAAUGCUCCGAGAGGGUAAGUGAAAAAAAUAAAAAUCUCAGCUAACACUGCUGCUUCUGAUGGAUGUCAUAUGGUCCACGUUAAGGCUGAGAAAACGCUCACAGAUCCUCCAUAGUUAGACCAAACUAGAGAGAAACAGAGUUGUUAGAAUCAGGACAGAUUCUUAUUGAAUAGAAAUAUACACUGCAUUUAGAAAAUAGUGACAUCUUUGUGACAGAGAUCCUCUCUUUAACUGUAAGGCCUGUAAGAAUAGGAAGAUGUGUGGCAUUUUUUUGGAUUGAUAUUUGUGUGAGGUACUUUAGCUGAGUGCUAAGUGAUAGAUUGACUGUAAUGUGUUAGUGCUGUGCUGUAUUAAAUGGGGUUUACUACUGACAGUGUUACCUCAUAGUUUGUCUAUACUAGUGCAAUUGCAAAUAGCUAAUUCACUGUUACAUAGCUGUUACAUAGUAAUAGCGUAUAGCUUGGGCAUCGUUGGAAUGAUCCGGAUACAGCUGUAUGAGAGAGCUAUAGCUCUUCUGCAGUCUCCAAAUGUGAGUUCUUUAAAUGAGCUGUAAAUAGUACAUGCGAUAUUGUAUAGGGCAAACUUCAUUUUUUCAUCAUUAGGAUAACAGUCAUAUUAUGUAUCUGUAGUCUAUUUUAUCUAUUCAGUCGUUGACUUGUUCUGUUGGAUUGAUACCAUAUCUCAGAGGGAAUAGUAAUGUUGUAAUAUCAUCUCCUGUCUCUGCGGUCCCCCUCAACCUCUGUCGUGCUGUCUCCCCCAUAAACUUGGGUAAUGGUACAGUCCACUCCUUGUACCCAAUGGCAGAAGGCAUAAAUUAACUCAGAGCACAAAGGAUAGGGGGAUGCGUUGUAGAAGGGGAAGUGAAUGUAUACUAUAUCCUACCACAUGCGGAACUCAGUGCUGUUUCUUUAUGAAUGGGCAGUCUGAGUGCACGAUCUGAUUGGUUGAGAGAAGAGAAUAAUUCCUGAAUGGACAGCAGGGUGCAAUCACCGGUGUUUAGAGUAACCUUCUGCGGUUGCCUUGCUCUCCCCCGGUCACCAGCUGUCCCGAAGGUUGUGUGUGUGUGCGCGUGUUUGCAGUGUUUGCAUAUGUGUGUGGGCGUAUAUGUGUGUGUGUGUGUGUGUGUGUGUGUGUGUGUGUGUGUGUGUGUGUGUGUGUGUGUGUGUGUGUGUGUGUGUGUGUGUGUGUGUGUGUGUGUGUGUGCGUGUCUGCGUAUGUGUGUGUCCAGGUUAGUCUUUUAAGGUUUAAUGUCCAUCAGGCAAUGAUAUGGUUUGAUUUGAUUUUGUAUUUAUUUACUCAAUUGGGUUCAUAACAUACAUUUGUUGUGGGGUGGCACUUCCCUUAGAGUUAGGCAUUACUUCUGGUCCUUCUCUCAGGGGCGUGACAGGUCUUGAAUUGUAGUGGCAUACUAACCUAAUUACUUUAGUGCUGCUCGUACAGAAACAAAUGGAAACAAACGUGAACAAUGGCCAUCCUAAAAUUAGAUCUCAAGGCUACCUGUCAUAGACAUGGGAUCCCUCAGAGGGCACUUUGUGUGUGUGUGUGUGUGUGUGUGUGUGUGUGUGUGUGUGUGUGUGUGUGUGUGUGUGUGUGUGUGUGUGUGUGUGUGUGUGUGCGCGUGGCCCAAGGAAUGUGCUCACAGACAGCCCCUGCAUGCUAGUCCCUCUACACUCCCUCCCACACACUCACACACCCUUUCUCUUUGUUUUACUGCAGUACAAUGAUAUCCAAUCCUAUGGCUCCACCUCAUAUAAGUCUGGUUCCCUCACCCUCCCAGUCCAACUGUCUGGCCAACAGUCACACUCAUGCAAUACUUUCUUUGGUCGUUUACUGAGUGUGUGCGUGCGUGCGUGGGUGCGUGUGGAUAGUAAAACAAGGAAAAUCUGGACAAGUGGGGACAUUAUUUUAAGCUUAGGGGUUAGGUUUAGGGUUAGAGUUUGGGUUCAGUUUAGGGUUAGGAGUUAGGGUUAGGGGUUUGGGGUUAAGGUUAGGGUUAGAUUGAGGGUUACAGUUAGGGAUUAGGGAAAAUAGGAUUUUGAAUGGGAAUGAAUUGUUUGGUCCCCACAAGGAUAGUAAAACAAAUGUGUGUGUGUGUGUGUGUGUGUGUGUGUGUGUGUGUGUGUGUGUGUGUGUGUGUGUGUGUGUGUGUGUGUGUGUGUGUGUGUGUGUGUGUGUGUGUGUGUGUGUGCGUGUGUGCGUGUGUGCAGGUGCUAAAAGUCAGCCAUAAACUUUGUGAAUUGUGUUUCUAUCUGCAUAUCUGUGCUUAUCGUGCCUGCAUUUCUAGACUGUGUGAUAAUCAUGCUGAUGUCGGUGAGAUGCGUCGCCGGUGUCUUGAUGGUUGAGAUAAAAUUCUCAGAGGUAGAUAAUGUUGGAAUCUGCCCUCUAUCUUAAUUCAAUACCUAUGAACUCUAACCUGUCCUUCUUGGCAAAGUCUGGCAGAUGAACAUCUUUCCAUGGCAGAGUAUUUUGGUGGUAAAAGUAGGGUUGAAUAAUGUGAGGUCAUCAGUUCACUGUGCCGUCAGUGUUGGCGGGAUCUUUAAUCACGUCGCUAGCCGAGGUCAGUUUCUAUAACUAGAGCAAUCCUAUUGAACUCCCAUCUAUAGCUUUCCUUUCUGCAUGAGCUGAUUUUGCUUUGUUUAUACAACAAUGGAGUCACUUUCACUGGAAGUCUUAUCAUUCGCAGAGAAAGGAGUUCAGGCAAAGAGCUUAACUUAGACGUCACAAGAGCUGCUCGCUGCGUUUGGUUUGAUGUCACCACACUCAAGUGUGUGUGUGUGUGUGUGUGUGUGUUGUGUGCGCUCGAGGGGUGGAGCCUUUCUGAAGGUGUGUGUGUGUAUUCAGGUACGAUAGGUUCCAACGGUUCUCCACACACCCAUCUGGUACGGUGUGUGUCCCUAUGCCCAUAUAUGGCUGUAGCUUCCCCUACCUGGCGCCUCACCGAGAGUGCAUUGAAUUCUAAUAAGUUGGGGCGCCGGAAAGAGACCCUAGAGUGGAAGCACGUCAUGAAACAGCAGGAUGAACGAGCAAGGCCUGAGAUCUGUGUUUGAAGGAGAUAUUUUUUCCUACUGUAAUCAGCUGGAGCGAUGACUCACAGGGUACAUCAGUUAUUCAGAUGGGAGCCAGUAAUGAGUGUUAUAGUGAAACUCUUUAUCUACUGCUGACUACACUCACAAGAGAUUGGAUACAUAGAAAACAGAAAAACAGGGAUUUUCCUGGCUGAUAUUGCUACUAUGGGAUCUCUCAUCAAUUGCACAUUUUCAACAUAAUUUGCCGGAAACGUAUGGUGAGAUGCCAAUCAGCUAUUCAGGUUAGAAUUCAGUAAGCUUAAAGUUCAAGGGAAGUAGAACGUGUAUCUGACCUUAGAGAGAGUUCACCUUCUAAAAGGUGCCUGAAAGAGUGGCUUUACAUCAUUUAUUAUUUUCAACACGUUUUCCACCCAUUGGAACAAUCCUUACAUUCAUCUAUUGGAACAUCAUUACAGUAGGACAAUACUUACCCGGCAAGGAAGAUACCGUGAUCAAGAAGGUAGGAAGAGGGCGAGGCUCAGCUAUUGCACUCUGGCUGUGCUGACCCCUGCAAAUUCAACAAAUGGAGCAGUGUAAUGCUAUAGGACUGAGCAUAGAACCAGUAACCCUAAAGCAACCAGGGAGAGAGAGACACAUUCAACUCAGCUCCACAGGAUCUAGGGAUCUUGGACCAUCGUCCAUCCAGCUUUCUCUCUCUCUCUCCUCACUUUCUGUCUGUCUGUCUGUCUGUCUGUCUGUCUGUCUGUCUGUCUGUCUGUCUGUCUGUCUGUCUGUCUGUCUGUCUGUCUGUCUGUCUGUCUGUCUGUCUGUCUGUCUGUCUGUCUGUCUGUCUGUCUGUCUGUCUGUCUCUCUCUCUCUCUCUCUCUCUCUCUCUCUCUCUCUCUCUCUCGAUUUGGGACAAGAGAGAGGUUGCCAAUCCUUCAUAAAGGCACUACACCAGGAAGCUUCCCUUUCCUCCUCUCUUUCUAGAUCCUCUCCUCGCCCUGCCAGCCCUUUCCCUUCCGUCCAGCCUUUUGUAAGGUCCCACAGACACCCCUCUCUUGGCUAGGGAUAUGAAUGGGUCUGGGACUGGGGCAUAGGACUGGUACGGGGUUACAGGGAUGGGGCUGAAAUAGCUUCUGGAGCUGGGCCUUUAGUUGUAGGCUCCAGGACCACUGUUUGGCCGAGCAAAACCCAGAUGAACCAUUCAGGGUCCCUUUUCACUUUCAAACUGUUACAUCUGCUCUGCUUUACCCUAAUAAAGCAGAUGCUGUAUUAGAAAGAGAGGAAAUGAGAGGGGGGGGUUGGGUACUGUAUCUAAAACAAUUGGAAUUGGGAACAUUGUGGUAAACGGGAUGGCAGGGACAUUCAACGUUCCAUGACCUUCAUGUCUCCACAGACCAGGAAAUGGCUUCCCUCUCUCUGGUUGGACUGUUCCGCAGAUCCGGCCGAACCAAUCAGACCCUCCAGAUCUGGCCCGGCGGAACGUUGGAGCUGAGUAUCUGAUUGGCCGAUGCUCUGAUGGUCUGAUUGUGCUGAAAGAGGACCAGUUGGUGAGAGUGCUGUAGACUAAGGGUUGGUUAUGGAUAUUGUUCAUCUCUCAUGUGAAUUGAAUUUAGUGGAAAAGCAACCUGUGGCUCUGAACUAUGGAUGAAAAGUGGAGAAAUAGAAAUCAUACUGCCUUGUCUUGGCCUCCAAGCUGAUGAUAAGUAAUAACGAACAUGGCCUGUCCUCCCAACACACACACCCACAAACACACCCAACUUACACAUCCUACACACACCCACACACACAUGCCCACAUACUGUAUACUUCAGUAAACGCCAACACCCACACACAUCCACACAUACAUAAUACCCAACUGCCACCCAAUAAACACACACACACAUACACACACACAGUGAUGGUCGCCCCCUGCUUUGAGGCCAGGCAGGGUAAUGAUUAAGUUCCUCUUGGCUCCUCUUACUGUGUGUCUGUGUGUGUGUGCCUGCCUGCGUGCUUGCGUGCGUGCGUGGAUGUGGUCAGGCCCAGUCAUCUCCCAGGCAGCUAGGAGGAAACCCACAUCAACUGAAACACACUCCAGGAAUAGGCUUACGCUUAUAUAUACACACACACACAGCGCUGGUGUCAACCCUUCUUUAUCUCUCUUCACAAUGUUUUAUAUUGUGUUCUAUAUAAACUCAUGUGACUAUUACAGCUUGUAUUUGGAUGCUUGCUGGCUUGAAGUGUUGUAGAUUUUCUAACCUACUGUAUCUAAAAAUCAAAUGGUAUUUUGCUUUUGUCAGUGGAGUUUGGACUAGUGUACAUCAGUGUGAACAGAAAAGGAUCCACUCCAAUGGCUGUAUGGUGUGUGAUUGUGCUUCCAUUGACCUUGUCCUGCUGAGUAAGACUACAGAUGUAGGAUCUUAAUUUGAUCACUCUUUUGUUGCUGAGAAUUUCCCUGCACAGCAGGAGAUGCAAACUUGUAAUGUGUUUGAGUUUAAAAAAAGCCUUCUAAAGAUUGUCUUUUCCACUUUGACAUUUCAGAUGUGAUUUACCCUAACAAAAAAUGUUUCAAACCCUAUAAAAUGUCCAUGAAUUAUAAUCCACAUAGUAAUUCACAUGUCCUGUUGCUGCAUGGUUAUUGUCCUGCGGUAGCAAACUGGCUCAAGUGAAGAUCCUACAUCUGUAGUGUCCCUCUCAACCGUAAGGCUUUGAGCUUCACUGGAAACAACUGAGCCAUUUACAUACACUUGACCACUUCUGAUAGGCCACAAUGGCAGCAUCACAUGGGUGCACGCCCACACGCCCACACACACAGCAUUAUCAAAGGAUGGAAAGAAGCAGAUAAGAUAGAAGGAUCGAGAGUGGAACAUACCCUAUCACCGUAUCACUGAUCAUGUAAACUAAGUCUAACUGGUUUAGGUCUGUUACCAUUACACACACAAACGCAGUCACACAAUACUCACGCUUUAAUGUUUUCACUGGGUUUGCAGUAUACUCCAGCUUUGCUAAUCUCGGUUAACCCAGAACUAAAUUCUCACGUAGUUGGUAAGCUGCUCGAUUAAGUUCUGGAUCCGUACGUGUUAAGAGAAGAGAGGAAGAGAUACUAGAACGAGGAGCGGAACCGGAACGAGGAGCUCCACCCUCUCUUUUUGACAGUUACAGGCCAAAUGUCCCCUCCCUUUCCGAAACUCGAAAGAUGCUAACAACUGCGAAAUCAUGAUUUGUUCGAAUAACCAAUGAUGAAAAAAAAACAAAAACACUGGAACUAAUGCUGCUCGUUAUCCCACACAUCCCAUUCCUUCCCCACAGAUUCUAACGUACCAGUUAUGUAGAUCUGUCCACGAGAGACUGACACUGUAAGUCUUGAUCAAGUUAUGAUCAGAAGGGAAACAUGAACCCCUGUCGCUGACUUGUUGCAUUGUGUGUGUUAUAGGUGUCCUGAGUGGACCAAGCCGCGGUCACCAGGGUGACCAUGCUCACCACAGCACUGUGCUGUCAGCCGCCCUGCUGACCUUUCAACUACCACCAGACAUCAGCUGUUCUAAUUCUAACAUCUGUCUACAGGUAAGACUGAACUUCAGCCCUCCGAAGUCCUAUUCCUCAGCCAAUCAGCAAGCUCUCUGGGGACUGGGCAUGCUCAGUAGCAGGGUCAGGGUUAAAAUAGUGUUCUCUUCCUGAAUUAAAAAAGAACUGAGCAUAAUUAAAAUGACUCAAAUUGACCCCAGCCCUGCUUUGUAGCUCAGUGGUGCCUCCUGCUUGCUCGCGCAAGUCAUGGAUUGAUUGAUUGGCAACAGUUGUGUUUAGCCCUCCUCUUUCAUUCCCUUCUCUCUCUCUCUCUCUCUCUCUCUCUCUCUCUCUCUCUCUCUCUCGCUCUCGCUCUCGCUCUCUCUCUGUGGAAUGUACCGGGUCCUUCUCAAUUCAUUCAUGUGGAUCCAGGAAGCGCAUUCCUCCCCACAGCCCCAGGCCAUGCUCCACCACCCUACCACACAUACAGUACACAGUCCACUGCCCAGUAGUCACUAUUGGCCAUGCUAAAAAGUACAGAAGUGACAAUAUCAUCCGAAGUUUGGCUCGUCCCAUUGCCUAGUUGAUCUAGUGAUCUCACUGCCACCACCUCCGACUGAUGUGGCACUACUUUCCUCUCUACAGCAGUCAUCACCAAUGUCAGCCCUGCAUCACAUACUCAACCCACUCAACAACUCUCUCUGUCUCUCUCUGUCUCUCAGUCAACACUGCAACUCCUACGUCAGUCUUGACAUGGGACUCAAACUCACUGAACUCAUUGAACUCUCAACAAUAAUGUCAUCACCAGCCAAAACACUCCAAGAGCACACAAUUCUAGAAGGAGAAAGGGCCCUAGUUUUGGGCCACAAAGAUUGCUAGAAUCAAAAAUAGAGAGAGAGAGAGAGAGAGAGAGAGAGAGAGCUAGUUGAGUAGAGUACUAGACUGCUAUGUUUGAUCAAUAUGGUCAUGCGGCUUCAGGUAUGCAGAGGCAAAACUGGACAGAGGACAAGAGGGAGAGCCCAGCAUACAUACCCCUCCAUCCUCCAUGUGUCCAUUCCUCCCCUAGAUUCCCCUCUUUCCUCCCUCUUUUCGCACAGUAUGCAUCCUUCCAUCUCUCCCUCUCCAUGUUCUGAUCUGCCUCUCCAUUUGUUCAUCCAUCUCUCAAUAUCUCUCUCCUCUUUACUCUCCUUCACUCUAUUCCUUCCCAUGUCCUCUCCUCUUCUUUCCUCCCUCCCCCACUUCGAUUAGGUGGUUGAGUUUUCCCUGGAGGGAAUUAUGUAUGAUAUUACGGUAAAUAACUGCCAUGAUAAUCUCAUACAGAUUUGUCCACAUAUGACUUAUUUUGUAUGGUACUCGUGGAGGGUAAGCUGAUCCUAGAUCAGUAUUAAAGUUUGUAUCUAAUGGUUCAGGUUAGGAUUUGGAGAGGGUAAGCUGAUCCUAGAUCAGUAGUAAAGUUUGUAUCUAAUGGUUCAGGUUAGGAGUUGGAGAGGGUAAGCUGAUCCUAGAUCAGUAGUAAAGUUUGUAUCUAAUGGUUCAGGUUAGGAGUUGGAGAGGGUAAGCUGAUCCUAGAUCAGUAGUAAAGUUUGUAUCUAAUGGUUCAGGUUAGGAUUUGGAGAGGGUAAGCUGAUCAGUGCCUAGAGCAAAGUGCCUAAAGGAAACUUCUCCCUAAAAGAGAAUGCAAGUGUGGCAUCAGAGUCACUGUGGAGCUGACAUGACAGUGGCUGCUGCCUCCAGUUGCCCCAGGCCUAAUGGGAAAGAAUGUCAGGAAUCUGAAACUGAUAAUGCCAUGCUUAGAGAUAACUAUAGAGAGAUCAUUCCCAUAUCCUUCCCUCCCCUCACCCCAUCUUCUCUGUCUGUUCUGUCUCUCCCUCGUCACCCUUCUCCUCUUCCUUCCCCCCUCCCCUCUCCUCUCACCCCACCCUCUCUCUGUCUCUCACCCCAUUCCCUCUCCUUGUUUCUUCUCCUCCCUCCCCCUUCCUUCUCCUCUCUCUUAAUAGCUGCAGUCAAUGUUGCCUUAUUGAUUCCUUACCCAAUAAUGACCAUCUCUUUCUCCCACUUUCUCUCUUUCUCUCUCUAACCAGAAUGGACCCAAUGAUCAUAUGAGGAUGAAGACCAUGAUGAAGGCAAUGCAAAUUCAUCAACGUGGAUCCUUUAUCUAUAUCUGCAGCCCCCCCCGCCUGUAUUUGUGUGUGGGUCAAUUGCUCAGUAGGCAGUGUAGAUCCUGUGUAAUUAUCAGCAGCUACAUCUGGCUACUGGGUCUCUGAACACACGCCACUGCCCACUUCCUACUUCCGGCCUGGUGGUACAUCCCAUUACCAACUGAUUGGCUAAUUGCACAUUCAAUUUCUCUCUGAUUGUCUAGUAUGUUAUCAUAUGGGCUGUUACAUCUCAUGACAGUACAGGAUGCUCUCUAUGCCUAUGCUUGUCAUUUCCCCCAAAAAUCUGAAUAUUUUUUUCUCUCUCUUCUCCUCUCAAUUAUUUUCUCCCUCUGCACCGUCCUUGGCGAGAACCAUUCAAACUCUUCUUGGUAUUCUUCUCUGAAUUGUGCUGUUUUCUAAAAGAGAGAAAAGAGAAUUGACGAGAGCAGAAAAAAAGCGAGCCAGAGUUGAAGGAAAUGUCAAAUGUGUCAGGCACAAUAGCACAGAGCCUUUAAGAGAGGAGAACAUUGUUUAGGAUGUGAUGCCUGCCGUUUCCAUAGAAAUAUGUCUAUAGAGAACAGGCAAGAUGAAAUGUCACAUUCUCUCUAUGAUCACUCAGUCAGAGACAGUGUGCGCGUGGGUGGGUGUGUGUGUGUGACAGCUGACGAGACAUCUUUGCUUGGUCCUGGACCUAGCAUACAAUGUAGAUUUCUGUGUGGUUUAAACUACAGCUACAUUGUCUGCUGGGUUUCAGGCUGGCAACAAAAGCAGCCUUCAACAGCUAAAUGAUUCAAUAACUCAACGAAUCAAAUCUUCGAUAACUCAACGAAUCAACUCUUCAAGAACUAAACGAUUCUACUCUUCAAGAACUCAACGAAUCAACUCUUCAAGAACUCAAUGAGGUAAGUUCACAUUCAUUCCGCCACUGUGUCAAAUGUUUCACCUUAAAAAUACAAUGAAAUGUCAUAUCUUUUAAUAAACAUCUAGAAAAGUAUAUGGUCGUGCGACUGGUUUUUCAUAUGAAAGUGUGAAGUGUUUUCAGUUUAUUUUUUUAAGUGUUAUUUUAUAGGGAAAUAUCACAUUGGGAAAAAACUAUAUUUGGCUUGACAAUGACAUCACUGGAGUAGGUAAGAGUACAAACAGAGCUGGGACCAGCUGGAGAGAAUCUAGAUGGAGUCUACAGGGGCAAUUUAUUUCUCUAGAAAUGAUUUGUAUUUAGAAUAAAUACCUGUAUAAAAUAACUCAAAGCCAGACAUAUACUGAUACUUAACAUGUCUAGCCACAGUUGUUUAAAUUUCCCGUUAUGGAAAAAACACAUUAAUUUCACAUGUGAACACGUGAUCUCAGGUGAUCAUGUGAUUUAAUGUGAAGCUAAUGACACUAUACGUUACAACAUUUGAGCACGUGAAAGCCCAGGUGUCAAAUUUUAUUUAAAAUAUUUUACUUUAAAAGGCAUAAUUUACAUUAUUACAUUUAAACAGUCAUGGUUCCCUGCAGGUUUUAUAUAGCUCCCGGUUUGUUCCAGGGACGUCCCCAAGGACGCUUUUAGGACGUUCUCUGAACAUUGUGUUAUGGUCCGGUGGAGUUUUUUUUCUAGCUGCUGUAAAAAUACAAAAAGUUCCGUGUUUUUACAGCAGAAUUAAGGUAUUAAUGGACAGUAUACUGCUAUAUACUGAUUACUUGGGACUCAACCUCCCUUGGGAUUUAUACUCUCAACCUCUUGGCUGCUAGCCACCUGAAGUUUCUGCUGCUCCACCAGGUCUGUGGACACAAUGGAGAUUCACAAUAUAUUUAUUGCCAAGAAUAGAUUUCUUGCAGUAAAAAUAAAGUAAAAAUGUACAGCAACUUUAAGGUGUUAUUUUUAUAAAAUGACAUUAUGCUGCUGUAUUCUGAUUUCAGUUACUGUAAAAUUGUCUGUAAUUUUGUACUGUGACCACAAUUGUGACUCAGCUUUAAAGAUGCACAAUGCAGAAAUCGCUCCACAAUUUCCUGGUUGCUAAAAUUCUAAUAGUUCGCCUGAUUUCAGUUUAUGUGACAUAACAAGCAAGUAUAGUGUAGAGAAUCGUUGUACCAUCCAAACGCUGUGAAAUAUAUUUUCCAUAACCCAAAAUAAUGUGUUUGAAGCUGGUGUACAAAACCAAAAGACGCAAGAACAAAAACUAAGAACGGGAAGCAUAGAAAUAGAUCUACCGCUUCUUAGACUUGCUUUCAAUGAAAAUGACAGACCUAUAACACACAUUUCUAUGUGAAUUUGGUCAAGUCGCCCCCAAAAUUAUAUAUUGCAACUGAAAUGGGAUUUGAGCUCAUAAACUCUUGGUCGUUAGCAGCCUGAAAUGUCUUGCUACAGUGCAGCUACACCACCAGAUCUGUGAGCGUGAAAGAGAUACUGUAUGAUCACAGACAUUGGCAAGAAUGCAUUUCUGCACUUUACUGAAAGCUGCACAGAACCAAGUAAAUAAUGUCCAAUUAUCACCACCAACAUAGCAGUCCUCAAGGACACAUAACAUAGAGUAUACAUUUACGCCUUUGGGAUUUGAACUUGCAACUUCUUGGUUGGGGCGCAGUUAAUGUUUCUGCAAUGCCACUAAGUUUAUACUUAUUGCUUGGAACAUACAAUAUAUUAACACACUCUCAAAAAAUAAGGGUAUGGCUAGGGUACACUACAAUGUUGUUUCCUGGGUUACAAAAAGGUCAAAGGUACACUUCACUGGUACAUACACUACAUGACCAAAAGUAUGUGGACACCUGCUAGCCAAACAUCUCAUUCCAAAACCAUGGCCAUUAAAAUGGAGUUGGUCCCCCCUUUGUUGCUAUAACAGCCUCCACUCUUCUGGGAAGGCUUUCCACUAGAUGUUGGAACAUUGCUGCGGGGACUUGCUUUCAUUUAGCCACAAGAGCAUUAGUGAGGUCGGGCACUGAUGUUUGGCGAUUAGGCCUGGAUUGCAGUCGGCGUUCCAAUUCAUCCCAAAGGGGUUCAAUGUCGUUGAGGUCAGAGCUCUAAGCAGGCCAAUCGAGUUCUUCCACACUGAUCUCAACAAACCAUUUCUGUAUGGACCUCGCUUUGUGCACGGGAGCGUUGUCAUGCUGAAACAGGAAAGGGCCUUCCCCAUACACUUGCCACAAAGUUUGAAGCACAGAAUCAUCUAGAAUGUCAAUGUAUGCUGUGGCAUAAAUAUUUCCCUUCACUGGAAUGAAGGGGCCUAGCCCAAACCAUGAAAACCAGCCCCAGAGCAUUAUUCCUCCUCCACCAAACUUUACAGCUGGCAGGUAGCGUUCUCCUGGCAACCGCCAAAUCCAUAUUCAUCCGUCAGACUGCCAGAUGGCAAAGCAUGAUUCAUCAAUCCAGAGAGCACAUUUCCACUGCUCCAGAGUCCAAUGGCAGCAAGCUUUACACCAUUCUAGCGACGCUU
rnacentral:lncRNA from 1 species